GUUCUCUUUCAACUGGGGUUUCUAAGCUGGAAGCUCAACUAUCUGGAGCUUACUUAGGAGUCCCAGGGGAGAGCUUGCUUAAGGCUGGCGCCUCACAGAGGAAAGCCCAAGUGUCCCGCCCACCGGCCUGCCCUGUGGACUUUGGAUUCAAGGCUGAAGCAGAAACACUUCCCUGAGUUUCAGCCUGCGGCCCGCCCUACAGAUUUCAGAGUCACUAGUCCCCACAAUUGCGUGGUCCAGUUCCCCGGGAGAGAUUUCUCUCCCUCUCUCUUGCGUUUAUUUGUGUGUGUGUCUGUAUUUAUAUUUGUCUAUAUUCUACUGUGCAGAAAGAUGUUCUUCCACCAUAUGAUAAUGCAGCUAGAAGGCCCUCACCAGACACCAGCACCUUGAUCUUGUUCUUCCCAGCCUCCAGAACUGUGAAAAAAUAUAUUUCUGUUCACUAUAAAUUAUCCAGACUGUGGUAAGACUGGAAAACCGUCUUCAACAGACUAAGAAACGCAGUCACUGUGCACAGGAGAGCAACACAAACCUCUGAUAUGUUAAGUCAGUGGUUCUCCAAGAGGCAAUGUCUGGCAAUAUUUUUGGUUGUCACUACUGGGAACGGGGUGGGGAGCUAGUACUGGAAUCUAGCAGGCAGACACCAGGGAUGUGGCUAAAUAUCCUGCAAUGCACAGGACAGCCCCCACAACUAGGAAUUAUUCAGCCCAAAUAUCAGUAGUGCUGAAG
rnacentral:lncRNA from 1 species